rnacentral:tRNA from 1 species
GCCGGAGUGGCGGAAUUGGUAGACGCAGGGGAUUCAAAAUCCCCCGAUUUUUUAAUCAUGGGGGUUCAAGUCCCCCCUCCGGUACCA